AUUAUUACCUUGGGGACGUUGGAAAUCAGGUUUGUUAUUGGCAGUUCCUGUUUCUGUAAGAGUUGUUAAGAGCUAAAAUUUAAAGGGUGUUGGUCAAUCAACAGAAUGUUAUUUUCUUAAGUGGGGAACUGCUAUUUGUCAUUUUUACUUUGCUGCUGCUGCUGCUGGACGACCUGCACCAGGUUUACCUCUAAUUCUAAACUCCCACUUCAUUAGAAAUAAAGCCAGUCUUCACAGAAACAUAAAGGACAUUUUUCUUCAAACCAAGACUCGUGAGCUAAAAGAGCAGUUGAGGAUGGUCUUACUUCUCCAUGUUCUGAAACCAUUUUAAACCAAAACAAAAAACAGACAACCUUGCAGGAAACUCAGAGUAAAUAAAUAGUCCUUGUCUGUUAAGUGAAAUUGUUCCUUAAGGUGGAGAGACUGAGACAGGAUCCGCCAGAAGAUUACACACUAUGUACAUUAAUAGCAAAAUCAGCUAGAAGAUUGAGAGUUUCUACCAUUAGGAAACAUACACAAAUACCAUCACACCCAGAAAAACCCAUCGAAGCUGUUUUGUCAAAAGUGUGCCUGAGAGCUUGAAUUUGAAGUCUCAGAAGACUCUUUUAAAGAGUAGAAAAUACGAAUAAAAUAGAAAACGUGGAGCUAAAGUUAAAACGGAUUCUUUAGAACUAGGUGCGGAAAGCCUGCAACAUUUGUGAGCCAACUGUCUGUGGAUUUCUUCUCAUCUGCUUUAAAAUAUUUGGUUUUGCCGUAUUUCCAUAAUAACCACAACCACACUCUCCCCUCCAAAAAGCCCCCACAACAACAGAUGUGUGUUCUAAGAGGAAAUGGAGACACUGAUAUAAUCAGACACUAGUUAGAAUGCUUUCAUACUAAAUUCUCCAGCAAAUUCCCAACAACAAAAAACUCUCCACCACUGAUGGAAUUAAUCUAAGAUCCUUGAUUAUUUGAAGUUCUAGAAGUUUGCAUUUUGCAUUUUGUUUGUGAAUGUAUAGGGCUUUAUUUAUCAAACUGCCGCGUAAUUUUCCCUUCAGUUUGAGGCUGUGAUUGUGAAACAAAUAAAUUGAAACCUACCAGUC
ensembl:lncRNA